AUAUAAUGUUUUGGACUGCAACUCCCACCAUUCCUAGCAUCCUAAUCUCAAAGCAGGCCUCGGAAAUGGCCUCAAUCGAGCUAGGCCGCACUGAAUUCUCCGGUUGCCACGGCAACGAGAGGGAACCCGGAAACAACGUUAAGCAACUGAUUGGAGAAAGCUUAGGCGGGGCUAUGAUUUUUCUUUCCUUUUCUGGCGGCGGAUUGGCCAUCGGAGGGGGCCAUUUUGUUUCGUGAUUGGGCUACUUGAGGCAUAAGGCGGGGCUAGGACGCCUUGGCGGUGGCUUUCGUUCCUGAUUGGCUGCCGAGGCCGUCAGGUGACUGGGGGAAAAACAAGCGGGAAGAAUGGCCGGCACCUGAGAGCAAACGGAACGCUGAGGUGAAAGCAGUGGAUUCUGAGAAGUCGAUGUGACGAUGGCGUCGUCAGCCUCAGAAUACACUAUUGGCGGCGUGAAGAUUCUCUUUCCUUGCAAGGCGUAUCCUUCCCAGCUGGCCAUGAUGAACGCGAUUGUAAAAGGGCUAAACUCCAAGCAACAUUGCCUCUUGGAGAGUCCGACGGGAAGCGGGAAAAGCUUGGCCUUGCUCUGCUCAGCUUUGUCAUGGCAACAAGCACAAUACGACAAGCCCCUGGACAACAUGUCAGGUUCAAAGGAAUCCAAGAAGCCAGAGCCCUUGAUGCCAUGCCGUUGUGGUUGCCACACUAGCCGCACAACUCAGAGCCCGGAUGGGGCGAAGCAGGACCAAGCGGCCUCUGAUGCCUUCACCAACGGUGCCCCCGCCAUGCCCACCAGCAGUGGAAAUACGUCCAGAAACGAAGACUCUGUUUUGUUCCCUUUUGAUGGAAAGCACACAGCGAAAACCACACUUGCUUCCAAGCUAUUUGCAAAGAAACAGGCUUCUUUGCAGGAAGGGGAAGAUGAUGAUUUUAAAGUUGAUAGGAAGCGGAUUCGUUCACUAGAAACUGAAGAGCAGGCUAGAAAACGACACCGACUGGCUAAAGGGGUCCAGUUUGUCGAUGCCUUGGAAAUUUAUCAGCAGCAUAAAAAUGGGGAAUUGAUUGUGUCUUCUGGGAAAACUACGCCUUCCUCUCUCAAAACACUUCCUGGCCCUUGCCACCAGUGUUCCUGUUCUUCCGCGGAGGAAAAAGGCAGAGACACAGCCGAUGCGAAGAAGAAAGACAACGGAGAGCGGCCGGCUAUUCCCAAAAUAUAUUUUGGAACCCGGACCCACAAACAGAUUGCUCAGAUCACGCGAGAGCUGCGGAGGACGGCAUAUGCCGGUGUCCAGAUGACCAUCCUUUCUAGCCGGGACCACAGCUGCGUCCACCCAACCGUCUCGACUUGCGGAAACAAGAACGAAAAAUGCGCAGAGUUGUUGGAAGCCAAACACGGUACAUCUUGUUCUUUUUUCCAUGGAGUCCAUAAGCUGCGCGAUCACCACGUCUUUCAGUUUGCCCAAAGGAAAUAUCAAGCCUGGGACAUAGAAGAUCUAGUGCGGCUGGGAAAGAAGCUCCGGGCUUGUGCUUUUUUUGCUGCUCGGGAACUUAUGGCGACAGCAGACAUUGUCUUUUGUCCUUACAACUACCUUUUAGACCCACAAAUAAGAGAGAGUAUGGAAAUUAAUUUGAAGGACCAGGUGGUCAUUUUGGAUGAAGCUCACAACAUUGAGGAGAGUGCCCGCGAGUCCGCCAGCUACAGCGUGACCGAAGCUCAGCUCCAAAUGGCCAGAGAAGAGCUGGACGCCAUGGUCAACAACAACAUCCGGAAACAGGACCACGAGCCUUUGCGGGCGGUGUGCUACAGCCUCACAAACUGGUUAAGGAAAGCAUGUGCUGAGCUGGUAGAGCGAGAUUAUGAGACAUCCAGUAAAGUCUGGAGUGGGCGUCAAAUGGUGACAUUCUUCCACACAAUGGGAAUAACAAAUGCUUCCCUUCCCUUCUUGCAGCGACAUUUAGCUGCUGUUCUUGAAAAAGAAGAAAAAGUCCCUCUUUUCCACGGCGGAGAAGAAGUCGUUUCUGUUCCGGUGAUCAGCCCUCCGACUCAGAUUGUGCUCAAAGGCCUCUUCAUGGUGUUGCAGUUUCUUUUCCGAGAGAACCACCGGUUUGCCGAUGACUACAGAGUUGCUUUGCAGCAAACCUACGCCUGGACAAACGAGACUCCGGCGGACGCUCCGGAUGCGAAAGGGUUUUUUGCACGACCGAAAAGGAGGUCGCGGCACAAAGUGGCCGUGCAUAAUCUCAAUUUCUGGUGCUUGAAUCCAGCUGUGGCCUUCUCUGACUUGAGCGGAAAUGUGAGAUCCAUUGUGUUAACCUCCGGGACGCUUUCUCCAAUGGAUUCCUUCUCUUCUGAGCUUGGUGUGAAGUUUUCCAUUCAGCUUGAAGCAAACCAUGUCAUUCACAACUCACAGGUAUGGGUCGGUACCAUCGGAGCCGGUCCCAAAGGCAGGACUUUACGUGCCACUUUCCAGCACACAGAAACCUUUGAAUUCCAGGACGAAGUGGGAGAGCUCCUGCUUUCGGUCUGCCAGACCAUCAGCCGCGGGGUUUUAUGCUUCUUGUCAUCAUAUAAGAUGUUGGAUAAGCUGAAAGAUCGCUGGCUGCACACGGCCUUAUGGGAGAAGCUUGAGCUGAUCAAGACCGUGAUUGUGGAGCCCAAAGGAGGAGACAAGGCCAACUUCGAUGAGCUGCUCCAAGUCUACUACGAUGCCAUCAAGUGUCAAGAAGGGAAGGAUGGUGCCCUUCUUAUCGCUGUCUGUCGAGGCAAAGUCAGCGAAGGCCUGGAUUUCUCCGAUGACAACGCCCGAGCAGUUAUAACGAUAGGAAUUCCCUUCCCAAAUGUGAAGGACCUUCAGGUUGAGCUGAAGAGGAAAUACAAUGACCAGCAUUCGAAGGCAAGAGGACUUCUGUCUGGGAGCCAGUGGUAUGAAAUCCAGGCCUAUCGGGCUCUUAACCAAGCCCUUGGCAGGUGUAUUCGCCAUAGGAGUGACUGGGGAGCCCUCAUUUUAGUCGAUGACCGCUUCGGAAGGCACCCAAGUAAAUAUAUAGCUGGAUUAUCAAAAUGGAUUCGCCAGCAAAUCCAGCACCAUGAGAACUUUGAUCACGCUCUUGGCUCCUUGGAGACAUUUGCGAAAUCGAACCAGAAGCGAACCGGCCCUUCUCUCGAGGCCAACGGGAAUUACUCACUCGUGCCUUCUGCUCUAAAAGAUCUGUCACGCAGCUCAGGACCGGAUCCGGAAACACUUUUUGCAGCCGAUAUUAAUCCAACAACAUACAACAUACCUCCCGAGGAAAAACAUCCUCACCCAUCUCACCAGAUGAGAGACCCCACACCCAGAAAUCCCACCAGAGAAAACAAGAGGGAAAAAUCAAAUCGUCAGCUCACCUCCGGAAGUAUAAAACAGUAUUUCGGUGCAACGUCAACAUCCACGCCUCCGCCUGCAACGAAUGUGGAGCGUAUGCCCAAAACCAAAUUGCUGAUGGACGAGAUGAACCAACUUGUUUCAAUUGUUUCCCAGCAAGAUGUAGUCUUGGUUGAGGUCGAUGAGCCAAUUGGAUUGGAGACAGAAACGGUUAACUGUUCUUCUGGAAAAGCGAUUCAAGAAUAUCCCAUACCAUGGCAAUCCUGCGACCACGAAAACAGCGAGAAUGCGGACGUUUCUGUAACAAGAGGAAACGUGGAACCUUCGACAUCGGCUGCAGAAACAGGUGUCGGUGACGACAGUGUCUACUUCACACCCGAACUUUACGAGUCCGCGGAAGAAGAACAGGAAUGGCUUGCUACCCCAUGUGGCGACGCCGGGAUAGCAAACACUUUUUUGACCGAAUUUCUGAACCCGGUAGAGGAAGAAGCUGGCGUUAAAACGGGCACAGGGUGGGAAGGUGAGAGUAACGAAGAUACAAUCCGAGUAGCCGGAGAGAGUCCUAGGACAGGAGACAUUGCGCAGGAAGGAAAGACGAGGAAAAGCAGACUUUCUCGAACACAGAAGAAAGGGUUGAAAGUGCAAAGAACCUAUAAACGAAGAAUCAGGAAGAACAUCUAGGAAGUGAACACAACAGAAAAAAGGUUUGGCUCCCCGGUCGUCUUUUUGUUUCUGUACGUCCAUCAAAUGCUGAAUUUUAGCUGCAAUUCCGUGAAUUCAAAAGAAUUUCGUCAUUCCCGGCGUCCGGACAAAAUCCGAUGUCUUGCUUUGCUCCUUUCCUGGAAGUCCAGACAAUUGGAUACACUUCUGCCAACAAUGAACAAGUUUUCUGCAGCCAUGACGGAAGAAGUCGACACUCGGUUUCCGCAACCGGCGUCUCUCAACAUCUUCAUCCGAAGCAUAAUGAUGUCCCCGCAGAUCUGAUGGAUCUCCUUUGGGGUGACACCUUCGCCCUUUAACAACACAACCGUUCAAUGCUAAGGCUUCCCGCCAAACGGAACUGUAGAGGAGAGUCUACUGAACAAGACCGGACUGUUGAGAAAUUACGAAGGUGGAGGCAUUACUUUUCAUUCAACCCUCGUCACUGGUUCAAAAGGAAGAGAAGGAGGAAGAAAAUCUGUGGCCAAAGAGGAGCGAUGGGCCCGCAAUCCGACCCGGAGCGAUGGGAGGGAAGAUGGGGCACAGAAGCCCAUUCUUCUCCCCACGGACCAGACUUUUACGGGUCAGAUCGGUGCUUUAAAGGCCCUUUUCAUCCCGGCGCAGAUCACUCUACCCACAGUAGCCAGCUGCAUCAUAUACCAUUUAAAUGUAGUUUUUAUGGAUGACAUUUUCCAGAGACAUUUUCUCCACCUCCCUCCCAAAGGAAACCGUGGCAUUUAUUUUAUCAGGGGUUCGGGUUUAACUCUUUGGGCGCUGCCUGGCUAACCGUGGAGUAGUAAGCACAGAAGCAAACACAGGGUACAAGUAGUAAUGUAUUUGAAAACACAACGUUUUUUAAAACAACCACAAAAACUUGGCCUGAUACGAAAUGUCCCUUGGCCAGAAUCUGACCACUUGGAGUGUUACUGUUAGAAGGUCCUCUAUUGUGCAUGUGUCUUGUAAUCAAUGGUCUGUGGUUUGCUCUCACCCACACUCGCAUGUUGCCGACUCCACUUUGUGGCCCCAUUUCUUAAAGUUGCAAUGCAUCUCGUGGUGCCACAGCGCAGUCUGUUCAGCGCCUUCCACGUCGCCCCGUCUUCUGUCUGCCCAGGAGGGAAUCUCUCAUUCGGUUUUAGCCUGCCACUUUUGGACUCUGGCUUGCUGAGGAGUUCCUGCGAGUAUCUCUGUAGAUCAGGGGGCCCCAAACUAAGGCCCAUGGGCCAGAUGAAACCCUUUGCAGUCUCUAGACCAGGGGCCCUCAAAACUUUUUAAGUGGGGGGCCGAUUCACAGUCCCGAAGACUGUUACGGGUCCGGACUAUAAUGAAAUAGUCCAAAAUUCAGAUUGUUGUAGUUGUGGCCUUCAAGUUAUUUCAGACUUAGGUCAACCGUAAGUCUAAAGUUUAGGACAGAGGCCAAGUCAAUGACCUUGGAGGGCCAUAUCCGGACCAUGGUCCUUAGUUUGGGGACCCCUGAUCUAGAUGAUCUCAAGACCAUAGGUAAGCAAAGAGACCUCCAAAGACCAUCUAGAUGAUCUCAUAAGGCCAUAAGCAAGCAAAGAGAUCUCCAAAGACCACCUAGAUGGUUUCAUAGGACCAUAGGUAAGGAAAGUGACCUCCAAAAGCCAUCUAGAUGGUCUCAUAAGGCCGUAGCUAAGCAAAGAGACCUUCAAAGACCAUCUAGAUGAUCUCAUGUCCAUAGGUAAGCAAAGAGACCUCCAAAGACCACCUAAUAGUUUCAUAGGACCAUAGGUAAGGAAAGUGACCUCCAAAAGCCAUCUAGAUGGUCUCAUAAGGCCGUAGCUAAGCAAAGAGACCUUCAAAGACCAUCUAGAUGAUCUCAUGUCCAUAGGUAAGCAAAGAGACCUCCAAAGACCACCUAAUAGUUUCAUAGGACCAUAGGUAAGGAAAGUGACCUCCAAAAGCCAUCUAGAUGGUCUCAUAAGGCCGUAGCUAAGCAAAGAGACCUUCAAAGACCAUCUAGAUGAUCUCAUGUCCAUAGGUAAGCAAAGAGACCUCCAAAGACCACCUAAUAGUUUCAUAGGACCAUAGGUAAGGAAAGUGACCUCCAAAAGCCAUCUAGAUGGUCUCAUAAGGCCGUAGCUAAGCAAAGAGACCUUCAAAGACCAUCUAGAUGAUCUCAUGUCCAUAGGUAAGCAAAGAGACCUCCAAAGACCACCUAAUGGUCUCAUAGGACCAUAGGUAAGGAAAGUGACCUCCAAAAGCCAUCUAGAUGGUCUCAUAAGGCCGUAGCUAAGCAAAGAGACCUUCAAAGACCAUCUAGAUGAUCUCAUGUCCAUAGGUAAGCAAAGAGACCUCCAAAGACCACCUAAUAGUUUCAUAGGACCAUAGGUAAGGAAAGUGACCUCCAAAAGCCAUCUAGAUGGUCUCAUAAGGCCGUAGCUAAGCAGAGAGACCUUCAAAGACCAUCUAGAUGAUCUCAUGUCCAUAGGUAAGCAAAGAGACCUCCAAAGACCACCUAAUAGUUUCAUAGGACCAUAGGUAAGGAAAGUGACCUCCAAAAGCCAUCUAGAUGGUCUCAUAAGGCCGUAGCUAAGCAAAGAGACCUUCAAAGACCAUCUAGAUGAUCUCAUGUCCAUAGGUAAGCAAAGAGACCUCCAAAGACCACCUAAUAGUUUCAUAGGACCAUAGGUAAGGAAAGUGACCUCCAAAAGCCAUCUAGAUGGUCUCAUAAGGCCGUAGCUAAGCAAAGAGACCUUCAAAGACCAUCUAGAUGAUCUCAUGUCCAUAGGUAAGCAAAGAGACCUCCAAAGACCACCUAAUGGUCUCAUAGGACCAUAGGUAAGGAAAGUGACCUCCAAAAGCCAUCUAGAUGGUCUCAUAAGGCCGUAGCUAAGCAAAGAGACCUUCAAAGACCAUCUAGAUGAUCUCAUGUCCAUAGGUAAGCAAAGAGACCUCCAAAGACCACCUAAUGGUUUCAUAGGACCAUAGGUAAGGAAAGUGACCUCCAAAAGCCAUCUAGAUGGUCUCAUAAGGCCGUAGCUAAGCAAAGAGACCUUCAAAGACCAUCUAGAUGAUCUCAUGUCCAUAGGUAAGAUAAGUGACCUCCAAAAGCCAUCUAGAUGGUCUCAUAAGGCCGUAGCUAAGCAAAGAGACCUUCAAAGACCAUCUAGAUGAUCUCAUAAGGCCGUAGGUAAGCAAAGAGACCUCCAAAGACCACCUAAUGGUCUCAUAGGACAUAGGUAAGGAAAGUGACCUCCAAAAGCCAUCUAGAUGGUCUCAUAAGGCUGUAGCUAAGCAGCGAGACCUUCAAAGACCAUCUAGAUGAUCUCAUGUCCAUAGGUAAGCAAAGAGACCUCCAAAGACCACCUAAUGGUCUCAUAGGACAUAGGUAAGAUAAGUGACCUCCAAAAGCCAUCUAGAUGGUCUCAUAAGGCCGUAGUUAAGCAAAGAGACCUUUAAAGGUCAUCUAGAUGAUCUCAUGUCCAUAGGUAAGCAAUGAGACCUCCAAAGACCACCUAAUGGUCUCAUAGGACCAUAGGUAAGGAAAGUGGCCUCCAAAAGCCAUCUAGAUGGUCUCAUAAGGCCGUAGCUAAGCAAAGAGACCUUCAAAGACCAUCUAGAUGAUCUCAUGUCCAUAGGUAAGCAAAGAGACCUCCAAAGACCACCUAGAUGGUUUCAUAGGACCAUAGGUAAGGAAAGUGACCUCCAAAAGCCAUCUAGAUGGUCUCAUAAGGCCGUAGCUAAGCAAAGAGACCUUCAAAGGUCAUCUAGAUGAUCUCAUGUCCAUAGGUAAGCAAUGAGACCUCCAAAGACCACCUAAUGGUCUCAUAGGACCAUAGGUAAGGAAAGUGGCCUCCAAAAGCCAUCUAGAUGUUCUCAUAAGGCCGUAGCUAAGCAAGGAGACCUUCAAAGACCAUCUAGAUGAUCUCAUAAGGCCAUAAGCAAGCAAAGAGACCUCCAAAGACCACCUAGAUGGUUUCAUAGGACCAUAGGUAAGGAAAGUGACCUCCAAAAGCCAUCUAGAUGGUCUCUUUAUUUCCAACAUUUAUAUCCCGCCCUUCUCACCCGAAGGGACUCAGGGCGGCAUACACAAUUGGCAACAAUUCGAUGCCUACACAUAAUGAAAACAUAGCAAUGAAAAUACAAUUAAAACAAUAUAAAAACAUAAAUAUAAGUUAUAAUAUAUUUUAUAUCAGUUUUAAUAAUAUAAUAUAGUGUAUAUGC